UUCGUUGAUGACUCUUGAUAAACAAUACAAACUAGAGUUUCUGAACAAUCAUUUAGUAGAAUUGUUAGUGAUUAGGACAUAUCUUACUGAGG
rnacentral:snoRNA from 1 species